rnacentral:rRNA from 1 species
CCUACGGGCGGCAGCAGUGGGGAAUAUUGCACAAUGGGGGAAACCCUGAUGCAGCGACGCCGCGUGAGUGAAGAAGUAAUUCGUUAUGUAAAGCUCUAUCAGCAGGGAAGAAAAUGACGGUACCUGAGUAAGAAGCCCCGGCUAACUACGUGCCAGCAGCCGCGGUAAGACGUAGGGGGCAAGCGUUAUCCGGAUUUACUGGGUGUAAAGGGAGCGUAGACGGCAGUGCAAGGCUGGAGUGAAAGGCGGGGGCUCAACCCCCGGACUGCUCUGGAAACUGUACGGCUGGAGUGCAGGAGAGGUAAGUGGAAUUCCUAGUGUAGCGGUGAAAUGCGUAGAUAUUAGGAGGAACACCAGUGGCGAAGGCGGCUUACUGGACUGUAACUGACGUUGAGGCUCGAAAGCGUGGGGAGCAAACAGGAUUAGAUACCCUAGUAGUC